GCGUGGUUAGCUCAGUCCGGAUAGAGCGUUGGCCUCCGGAGCCAAAGGUCACAGGUUCGAAUCCUGUACCGCGCGCCA
rnacentral:tRNA from 1 species